rnacentral:rRNA from 1 species
UACGGAGGGUGCAAGCGUUAUCCGGAUUCACUGGGUUUAAAGGGUGCGUAGGUGGAAUGGUAAGUCAGUGGUGAAAUCUCCAAGCUUAACUUGGAACUGCCGUUGAUACUAUCAUUCUUGAAUAUCGUGGAGGUGAGCGGAAUAUGUCCUGUAGCGGUGAAAUGCUUAGAUAUGACAUAGAACACCGAUUGCGAAGGACAGCUCACUACGCGAUUAUUGACACUGAGGCACGAAAGCGUGGGGAUCAAACAGG